rnacentral:tRNA from 1 species
GGUCUCAUGGUGUAAUGGUUAGCACUCUGGACUUUGCAUCCAGCGAUCCGAGUUCAAAUCUCGGUGAGACCU